CACCACCCUCUCCAUCACCACCACCUCCAUAUGUCUACAAGUCUCCUCCUCCACCAUCACCCUCACCUCCCCCACCAUAUGUUUACAAGUCACCACCACCUCCAUCCCCUUCACCUCCUCCUCCAUAUGUCUACAAGUCACCACCACCACCAUCCCCAUCUCCACCACCUCCAUAUAUUUACAAGUCCCCACCACCACCAUCCCCAUCACCCCCUCCACCAUAUAUAUACAAGUCUCCUCCUCCACCAUCACCCUCCCCUCCCCCACCAUAUGUAUAUAAAUCACCACCACCCCCAUCUCCAUCCCCCCCUCCACCAUAUGUCUACAAGUCACCACCUCCACCAUCCCCAUCUCCACCACCUCCAUAUGUCUACAAAUCUCCACCCCCACCAUCACCUUCACC
rnacentral:lncRNA from 1 species